AGUGAACGCUGGCGGUAGGCCUAACACAUGCAAGUCGAACGGCAGCACAGUGAGAGCUUGCUCUUACGGGUGGCGAGUGGCGGACGGGUGAGGAAUACAUCGGAAUCUACUUUUUCGUGGGGGAUAACGUAGGGAAACUUACGCUAAUACCGCAUACGACCUACGGGUGAAAGCAGGGGAUCUUCGGACCUUGCGCGAUUGAAUGAGCCGAUGUCGGAUUAGCUAGUUGGCGGGGUAAAGGCCCACCAAGGCGACGAUCCGUAGCUGGUCUGAGAGGAUGAUCAGCCACACUGGAACUGAGACACGGUCCAGACUCCUACGGGAGGCAGCAGUGGGGAAUAUUGGACAAUGGGCGCAAGCCUGAUCCAGCCAUACCGCGUGGGUGAAGAAGGCCUUCGGGUUGUAAAGCCCUUUUGUUGGGAAAGAAAAGCAGCAGGUUAAUACCCCGCUGUUCUGACGUUACCCAAAGAAUAAGCACCGGCUAACUUCGUG
rnacentral:rRNA from 1 species